rnacentral:rRNA from 1 species
UGGGGAAUAUUGCACAAUGGGCGCAAGCCUGAUGCAGCCAUGCCGCGUGUGUGAAGAAGGCCUUCGGGUUGUAAAGCACUUUCAGUCGUGAGGAAGGUGGUGUAGUUAAUAGCUGCAUUAUUUGACGUUAGCGACAGAAGAAGCACCGGCUAACUCCGUGCCAGCAGCCGCGGUAAUACGGAGGGUGCGAGCGUUAAUCGGAAUUACUGGGCGUAAAGCGCAUGCAGGUGGUUUGUUAAGUCAGAUGUGAAAGCCCGGGGCUCAACCUCGGAAUAGCAUUUGAAACUGGCAGACUAGAGUACUGUAGAGGGGGGUAGAAUUUCAGGUGUAGCGGUGAAAUGCGUAGAGAUCUGAAGGAAUACCGGUGGCGAAGGCGGCCCCCUGGACAGAUACUGACACUCAGAUGCGAAAGCGUGGGGAGCAAACAGGAUUAGAUACCCUGGUAGUCCACGCCGUAAACGAUGUCUACUUGGAGGUUGUGGC